rnacentral:rRNA from 1 species
UCCGUAGGCGGUUUAGUAAGUCAGUGGUGAAAGCCCAUCGCUCAACGGUGGAACGGCCAUUGAUACUGCUGAACUUGAAUUAUUAGGAAGUAACUAGAAUAUGUAGUGUAGCGGUGAAAUGCUUAGAGAUUACAUGGAAUACCAAUUGCGAAGGCAGGUUACUACUAAUGGAUUGACGCUGAUGGACGAAAGCAUGGGUAGCGAACAGGAUUAGAUACCCUGGUAGUCCACGCCGUAAACGAUGGAUACUAGCUGUUGGGGGCAACUUCAGUGGCUAAGCGAAAGUGAUAAGUAUCCCACCUGGGGAGUACGUUCGCAAGAAUGAA